GUCUUAAUGAAAAAUAAUUCUAAGUGUGGUUUCGGCCUAUAUAAUACAGUAAAAUCUGUUUAAGACU
rnacentral:tRNA from 1 species